AUGUAUACACUGAUGGAAGAAUCUGAGAUGUUUAUGUUUUUUUAUGCCCAGGAUAAUGCAGAAACAUGUGCUGAACCCGGUGCCACAAAGACAGGACUAUCAGAGUUGCCGUUGGAUGUGAUAGAGAAGCUGCUGAAUCAUAUUUCUUGCCGUGGUGAUUGGGCUCGCCUUCGUUGUGCGAACAAGUUUUGGAAGGCAAAGGUAGAUGGUGCAAAAAGGCCCAUGCAGCUGCCAUCGCUUAUAUUGCCAUCAACCACGAAACCUACCUAUUACAGCACUGAUGGACAAGCCGUACAUCGACUUCGCCUCCCGGACAGUGUCAGGAGAGCUAAACGAAUCACUGGAGCACAUGAAGGCGAUUGGAUUCUUCUGGCUGAUGACACUAAAACCCCAGUAAACAAGAUUGAGGCUGAUGAAAAAGAAGCUAUACUACACAGGAACCAGAUCUACAACUUGAGCACUGGACGCGUUAUCCCUCUUCCGCAGCAAAUGUCUUCUCAUGGGGGAAGAGUUGAUGUUGAAGUGAGGGUAGGUGCUAUAGCUGGCUGCCUAGGUUCUCCCAAUGGGUUUGUGGUGGUUGCUAUUGUGCGUCCCUUAGAUAGCCCAUUUGAGCGUGCAGCUUAUUGUAACCAGUCGAUGGAACUGUGGGACGAUUGCGAGUAUAUCGGAGGUCACAGGAUGGAAGAUGCAAUGGGGAACUACGUGCCACUUGAUGAUGAGCUGCUGGAUGUAGUCCACAGGGAUGGCUCUUUUUAUCUCUUGACCAACGAUGAAGAAGUUGUGAAGCUGGUCUUUGAUCGCAAUCAGAUUGUGCAGCCAGUGUCAGGACUUGGAGUUAUGUUGCGGGAUGACUUACCAGCAAACAGAUUUUUGGUGGAACAAGGCCAACAAAUAUGGCGGUACCUUGUUCCAGUGCAAACAGGGCUCCUGAUGGUAAUCAGAUACAUUGUGGGUCGUCGGACUGAGAGAAUAAGAGUGUUCAAGCUCGAAGACAAGGAUGACCAGCUCCGCUGGAUUGAGCAAGAUGAUUUACCUGGUCACAAAGUAUUCAUCGGUCAUGGGUGCUCAAGAUGUUAUGAAGUUGGUGAUGAAGUUCUUAGCAUCUACUUCUAUGAUGACAGAGAGGAGCUGAGGAUGCCUCAGUACUAUUUCAGAGAUGAUUCAGGGAUUGCAACAAGUUUGGAGAUUUUUCCGUGGCCAGUUAUCAUGGGGAAGUCACAAAUUGAGAGUGUCUUCAUGGGGGAAUCACAAAUUGAGAGUGUCUUCAUGGGGGACUCACAAAUUGAGAGUGUCUCCGAAUGCUCUCCACCCGCUUGGUGGCUGCACAAGUGUCCUAGAGCGUGA
rnacentral:rRNA from 1 species